UAAAUACUUCCUUCGUCUUAAAUUUUUUGUCUUACAUUUAUCUAGUAUGAAUAUAUAUAGUCACGUUUUAGUAUUUAGAUACAUUCAUUUCUAAACAAAUUUAAGAUAAGAAUUUUGAAACGAAGGGAGCACUAC
rnacentral:pre_miRNA from 1 species